CCUACGGGAGGCAGCAGUGGGGGAUAUUGCACAAUGGGGGAAACCCUGAUGCAGCGACGCCGCGUGGGCGAAGAAGUAUUUCGGUAUGUAAAGCCCUAUCAGCAGGGAAGAAGAAAUGACGGUACCUGAGUAAUAAGCACCGGCUAAAUACGUGCCAGCAGCCGCGGUAAUACGUAUGGUGCAAGCGUUAUCCGGAUUUCCUGGGUGUAAAGGGAGCGGAGGCGGCACGGCCAGCCUGAUGGGAAAGCUCGCGGCCCAACCGCGGGACUGCAUUGGGAGCUAGCGGGCUGGAGGGCCGGAGAGGUAGGCGGAAGUUCGAGUGUAGCGGUGAAAUGCGUAGAGAUUAGG
rnacentral:rRNA from 1 species